UGUGAUGUUCGGCUCGGAGAUCAAUUUUUACACGAGGUGGUUUAAUUGCAGAUUAUUUUUGCAUCGUGCGCAAUAUCUCACGCGCUGCUGGAUUAAAAUGAGCGUGCGCAGAUUUGGGAUUUUGGAUUUCAAUGAAGUCACAAAUGAGGGCUCUCUGACAGGGUCAGGAUUUGGUCGAAGAGUCACAGAGAAAAGUCACAUUAGGGGAAAAAUGUGCAGAUUUAAAAUCUCUGGGAUCAAGACAGAAGAUUUACAGCGCAAGAUCAAGCAAAACACAACAGAAUAAGAUGUGUUUGUUAUGAUGACUCCAUGUGUGUCCUGUGAGCUGUCACAAUGAAAGCAUGACGACCUGCUUUAGACAUCACGGAGCACCACUGAGGGUAUUGUUUCCUGUAAAGUUUGAGUACUUCAACAUACUCAGAUCCUAUAAAGUACAUAUAGUUCCUGUUUUCCUCCUUGUGCUCUAAAACUCAGACAUAAUGAGGAAGUGGUUGCUCUCACUAUGAGCACAGACUGCUUAUGUGACAGACAUUUUGCUUUUUCUCUUAACCGUGUAUAAGAAGUCUCUUGAUUUUCUGCUCUUUAUUGUUAAAGAAUGAUUCUCUUCGCACUUGUAAUCCCUGAGUUUAAGUCAUCCUAAAAUUGAUGGCAUCACAAGAACACCGGCGGCCCAAAGUGGAUGGAGAUCCUACGACUGGAUGAGACAAAAGAAAAAGACAAGGAUUGAAGGGUAGUGACAUUGUUCUGGAAAGCUGGACAGAGUGAAGCUCUCCUUGUGUCGACUGACGGCAUGAAUCAGAAACCCUGCUAACUGCUUCUCCAGCAUCUCCACCACAGCUUUAGCGUCUCCUUUUCUGGCAGGAC